rnacentral:rRNA from 1 species
CGAGCGGUAAGGCCUUUCGGGGUACACGAGCGGCGAACGGGUGAGUAACACGUGGGUGAUCUGCCCUGCACUCUGGGAUAAGCCUGGGAAACUGGGUCUAAUACUGGAUAUGACCUCAGCAUGCAUGUGCUGGGGUGGAAAGCUUUUGUGGUGCAGGAUGGGCCCGCGGCCUAUCAGCUUGUUGGUGGGGUAAUGGCCUACCAAGGCGACGACGGGUAGCCGACCUGAGAGGGUGACCGGCCACACUGGGACUGAGACACGGCCCAGACUCCUACGGGAGGCAGCAGUGGGGAAUAUUGCACAAUGGGCGGAAGCCUGAUGCAGCGACGCCGCGUGAGGGAUGAAGGCCUUCGGGUUGUAAACCUCUUUCAGCAGGGACGAAGCGUGAGUGACGGUACCUGCAGAAGAAGCACCGGCUAACUACGUGCCAGCAGCCGCGGUAAUACGUAGGGUGCGAGCGUUGUCCGGAAUUACUGGGCGUAAAGAGUUCGUAGGCGGUUUGUCGCGUCGUUUGUGAAAACCCGGGGCUCAACUUCGGGCUUGCAGGCGAUACGGGCAGACUUGAGUGUUUCAGGGGAGACUGGAAUUCCUGGUGUAGCGGUGAAAUGCGCAGAUAUCAGGAGGAACACCGGUGGCGAAGGCGGGUCUCUGGGAAACAACUGACGCUGAGGAACGAAAGCGUGGGUAGCAAACAGGAUUAGAUACCCUGGUAGUC